AUACAGAGGGUGCGAGCGUUAAUCGGAAUUACUGGGCGUAAAGCGCGCGUAGGCGGCUACCUAAGUCAGAUGUGAAAUCCCCGGGCUCAACCUGGGAACUGCAUCUGAUACUGGGUAGCUAGAGUUUAGGAGAGGGAAGUAGAAUUUCAGGUGUAGCGGUGAAAUGCAUAGAGAUCUGAAGGAAUACCAGUGGCGAAGGCGGCUUCCUGGCCUAAAACUGACGCUGAGGUGCGAAAGCGUGGGUAGCAAACGGGAUUAGAUACCCCAGUAGUCC
rnacentral:rRNA from 1 species